rnacentral:rRNA from 1 species
GACGAACGCUGGCGGCGUGCUUAACACAUGCAAGUCGAACGGAAAGGCCCUGCUUUUGUGGGGUGCUCGAGUGGCGAACGGGUGAGUAACACGUGAGUAACCUGCCCUUGACUUUGGGAUAACUUCAGGAAACUGGGGCUAAUACCGGAUAGGAGCUCCUGCUGCAUGGUGGGGGUUGGAAAGUUUCGGCGGUUGGGGAUGGACUCGCGGCUUAUCAGCUUGUUGGUGGGGUAGUGGCUUACCAAGGCUUUGACGGGUAGCCGGCCUGAGAGGGUGACCGGCCACAUUGGGACUGAGAUACGGCCCAGACUCAUACGGGAGGAAGCAGUGGGGAAUAUUGCACAAUGGGCGGAAGCCUGAUGCAGCAACGCCGCGUGCGGGAUGACGGCCUUCGGGUUGUAAACCGCUUUCGCCUGUGACGAAGCGUGAGUGACGGUAAUGGGUAAAGAAGCACCGGCUAACUACGUG